UCCAACUAUUUUAAGAUUUUUAUCUCAACUUAUGACAUUCUCUUUCAGUGCGAGACCGAGUUUGAGAAGAAAUGUUGGAAUUACUCGAGUUAAAUGCAAAAUACGAAACACAAAUUCAUUUUCGUGCUCUCACUGGACCUAUGCCCUUAACGGCGGCAUUUUUUUGUGUUCUUUUCACCGCCUUCGCGUCACCAUAAUCGAGUUAAAUUCACCGGAGACAAAUAACAAUGAAAACGCGGCGGAGGCCCGCUUUAUAAUUUUCUUGACGAGGCUCGAGGUGAAAUAAUUGAAAACGGUACCGCUGAAUAUUUGAAUUCAACAGAUGCUUAACGAUUCGAGCGUCGCAGAUGCAUGAGCUCGUAACCGCGCAUGGACGCACGCACGCAUGCACCCAAGCACCCAAGCAGUCACACACUCGCGCCGCGCACCCUCGAAAGAGCGCGAUCGGUGUCAUUAUCGAAUUCGAUGAGACUGCUCUUUUGUCCGAGUUUGAUGGAAUAUACGCGACGAGAAAUUUCAUUAUAGAGCUCGAGAGAAUAUUUUUUCGUGAAAGCAUCAACGAGUCGUAGAAAAAAGUGGGUUCGAAGGUAACCGGGAAAAGGGCUUGUGUCUCUGAAUGCAAUGUGCUGUCUGUUGUAGCCAAACGGGAAAAUCUACGAGCGAUAAAUGAGGGUGAGAGCAAGAUUAAUGCGCGACUGCUUGACGAACGGCGGCGGCAGAUCCCUCCUUUACUUUCAUUAUCUUCCUUCGCUAACCAAAGUUCAUUGCCGCCUACGGUUCAUCGAGUUCGUCUCAUGUUCCAUCCUCGAACGGAGGCUCCGAUGCCGCACUCUUCACUAACUUUUCAUCCGCCCCUUUACCAGUUGGUGGAUAUUUCUUGUCGCGAUGACAAAUCGCUCCCGUCUCGUCGACAAUUAUCGUCGUCGUCGUCGUCGUCGUCGUCGUCGUCGUCGUUGUCGUCUUCAUCGUCGUCAAAAGAUAAUGAAGAAACGAAUGAUUCCGUAUCGCCCGUUCUUCAUCCCAUUUCCCGUUCACCAAUUUACGCGACGUGCAGCCUCUGCCGUCGUCGUCAUUCUCCGCACUUUCGAUGUCGUCGUCACAGUCAUUCCCAUCGGUCAUUCAACCGCUACCGCCUUCACCGUCAUAAUCUUCAUCACCAUCAGGUCGAAGGGCAUUCGAAGGGGUCGUCAGCGAGCUUGUUACUUUAUGCCUCAUCCGAGAACAGAGUAGACGCGACGGCUGUUUACUUUCUCAAAAAUAGUAUCGCUGCUACCGCUCCCGCUACGCGAAUGCGCAACGAUUUUUCUCUUCCGUCUCCUCCCUCCUCCGCAUCCCCCCUUCGCUCUCCACCUCCAUCUUGCUCUUUUGCCGAAUGCCGCUACUGCUCGUAUCUCUCCGUGAUGGUCUCUCCGCUCGCGAGUAUCGCGAUCGAGAACACGGUUGAGCCUAUUACCGCGUGUGUGUCUCCUGCUCUCCCGGUAUCGUUACACUUUCGUCGAGCAAUCGAUAAAAAGCCUGGCAACGAUAGCGAUUGCGAUCCUUGUUUAGAGAGAACGACCUGUGUCGAGCACUCGCCGUCGAGUACCACCGAAGCCUCCUCCAGGGCGAGCUCUAUUCAACGCCACCGAGAUGUCCGAUCGCCCGGUGGGAAUCGCCACUCCGUUACACAACGGAAACCUCCCCCAUGGCUCUGCGACCUUGACUCGCCCUCGGAAUGCGUCGACACCGGGGCCCUGAUCUCUGGUUCGAAAGAUUUUACGCUCUUCGAGAAAGCCGGUGGUGAGGCAACGCCUCUGGAGAACGAAGCGGGGCGACCCACCGAAUGGAACAAUAUCGACGUGGCCGCGGGCAGGAACGAGCAGCGGGGAGGAAACGCCCUCGAUCAAUUCGUCACGAUGAAUAUUUUGCAUCGAGAGGAAGAGGAAGAUGAGAAAUUCAGCGUCGAGGACGGACAGGCUGAGGCAUCCGAGCACUCCGGGACAUCCGGCGACCAGGAACACUGCGAGAAGAACGAAAAGGAAAUUGAUACCGCCAGUGACGAUUCGACGUCCGAGGAGCUCGCGGAUCAAGUUUCUCGCAGUGCGAGCGACCAUUCUGAAACGAGCGACGACGACGACGACGACUCGGAUUCGUAUCUGGCGUACUCGACGGGCCACCUGACCAAGCGGACAAGCCCCGACGAGACCGUCCCCGAAGACACGUCCGACGAGAGUGACCUCGAGCAAGAGGACGACGGCGAUCAAGCGAGUGCCGAAAUACGAUCAACCAAAUCAGAUUUUUCUUCGAGGGAAAAUGCCCAGGAUGAAAAUACCGAUAACGACGUUUGCGUUGAGUUCAAAAUUUCACUUCGCCCCGGUAACAUCUCAAUAGAAUCAAACGCCUCGGCCGAUCCCUCCUGCGAGGAAGAUCUUUCGCAGUCUUCUUCCGCCGAUGAGGAUUCCAUUGACUUCUGGAAAGAGAUAACCAUGGACCGUGAAAAUAAUCGCACAGAAAAUUCUUUCUCGAAAACUCUUCGGACUGCGGGCGAUGAGUCUCCGGUAGCUCUACAGUCGGACAUACGAGAAGAGGAAAAAGACGCGGAAGAAGAGAAAAAAGAAAAGGACGAUGAGGAAGAAUACGAAGAGAAAGACGAAUCGACGAGUUUUCUUUUAACAGAUAAAUCGGAGAGAAUGAUCGAGAAAAUGCCGCCUGUCGUGAUCCAAGUGACCGAGGCGCCGGACGACAGUGACCACGAGCAUCCUCAAGGAGACGAGAUCGUUGCGAGUGUCGAUGAUUCGCGGCACUCCGACAGCGACGACGAGGACAGCGGGGUGACCUCGGACACGAGUAGAUUGAUAUCCGAAGUCGAUACCGAUUCGGAGUGCGGAACAGGGAAGCCGAGCGGUAGAAAGAUAAAUAGUUACAAGCGAACGCAGACGCACUCGCGUUUGUUCAGAUUGUUGAGCAACCGGGAAGACGAUAGCCGGGAGAGUCGAGGAAUCGUAACGAUCGGAAGCGUCCCUUCGCCCGGGACGAUAAGCCGAUAUCACCCGAAGCUCGUCAUGCCGGAUCACAAUUUUUUAUUCAACACCGAUAAAACAACGAGAAGCGACUCCGAUGCGUUGCGAGAAGCUUACGGUCGGGGCGACAACGGCGAGGCUCCGCGAUUGCCCAACUGGCGAUUCAGACGGCCCGUUUCCUGUCCAAGAGUAAAAAGUUCGAAAAAUUUACUCCGGGCGAGAACCGCCGGAGGAAAGGAUUCUUCAAACACCAGCGGCGCCACCGAUCCUCCCAGUAAACUGACAACGUCCCUUCCUCGGGAAUACGGGCGUUGCUGAAGCGCCCACGUGCUACGAUCUCUUUUAUUUUUCAUUGAUUUUCCAAAGUUUUUUAUAACGCUUUUCAUCGCCGGAACAAAAGAGUGAGCCCGGGGCAGAGCCACCGUCGCCGCGAGGGGAAAAACACUUGUGAGAUUUUAAUAAUCGGGGAUCGCACGCGCGAUGGGACUAUUUUCAUCGCUCUAACAAAUUCCACCGGCAACAUGCGACACCGCCGCUCCGACGGGAUGUCCGGAAUCUGCGCGACCGUUUUUUUUCCACCACCGGGGUCCCGAUCAAACCGAUUACUGAUGAGAUACGUGACGGAAUCGGAGAGCUGCGCUCUCGAAACUCCCGGCAGGCAGACGGGGAACUCUCUCAGUCGGCGCGUGUGCCUUUGCGUGUUUGUUGUUUCACUUUCUUCCUCUCUCGCUCUCUAUCUCUCUUUCCCUUAUCAUCUUUUCUACGAAUCGCAGUCUUGUUACACACACCCCCCGUCAUACCCGAUCUCGAACUAGAUCGGCGCGGAACGCUCUCCAACGUGUGACUCGGUUGUUCUCAUUACGAAAAGAAGAAUAAAAGGAAUAACACACUUGUAUGAUACAUGUUUCAGAAAUAAAUAUUAUUUAUUACUAAA